GGUUCAUAUUAUACAACACCAAAUCAAGAAGGCAACCGAUAGAACAGUCGUCAUUGAUCCUUCCCAAGCAUCCCCUUUUAAAAUCCCAUUGCUAGUUUCAAUUUAUGAUUACUAUCAUCCAAUAACCAUUAUCUAUAUAUACUCAACACAACGCACAACCACAUGCAUAUAUACCUUCAAUGAAAAGAGAUCUUCUUCAAGCUACGUCCUACUAUUGCUUCCAGUUGCUCAAACAGCCUGUUUACAUUGCUCUUCAUAAAAAAUCUCUAUAAUAUAACAAUCCACAAUUGUUAGCAUUGAAUCCAACUUAUUUCCAUCUAAACACUAAUAGAGAAUCCAGUAUCCUAUUACUUUAUCCAUGAAGGUAUCAACCUUAAACCACAAAUUAACAACUGUCCAACACUUUUCAAACCUUCAAAUAAAAUCUAGCAAGAUCAGUGUUACCCAUAUGAUACAAUUAUUGGCCAUUGAAAGCAGGUUCUUAAUGGCAAAACUUCUUAUUGACCAAUGAUAACAGGUUCUUCCAACCAAACAUAUUCCUUGACACAUUUCCUUCCCAUUGCAUCAAAAUGUCUAUACUUCGAAUUUAAAAUUGUAUCACCCUCAAUUUCUGAAAGAGACCCAACAACACUAUAUCAAUUUGCUCACCUAUCAAUUGUGCUUUCUUAGAACAAGGGAGCUUCCCCAAAUUCCAUCUUCCUCCAGGCAUUAGAGUACGUCUGGUACAUCUUGCAACUUUUACCCUAAAGCAAAAGUUAAUAUCAAUCUUCGCAGGGUUCCUACAUUUUCUAGGCAUCAUUUAGGUAUACUAGUCAGUGAAGUAACAUAAUCCUCCUUAUCAUAUUAAAAAAAA
rnacentral:misc_RNA from 1 species